rnacentral:rRNA from 1 species
GACGAACGCUGGCGGCGUGCCUAAUACAUGCAAGUUGAGCGCUGAAGGUUGGUACUUGUUCCAACUGGAUGAGCAGCGAACGGGUGAGUAACGCGUGGGGAAUCUGCCUUUGAGCGGGGGACAACAUUUGGAAACGAAUGCUAAUACCGCAUAAAAACUUUAACCACAAGUUUUAAGUUUGAAAGAUGCAAUUGCAUCACUCAAAGAUGAUCCCGCGUUGUAUUAGCUAGUUGGUGAGGUAAAGGCUCACCAAGGCGAUGAUACAUAGCCGACCUGAGAGGGGUGUUGGCCCACAUGGGAACUGGACCAGGCCCAAACCUCCUAGGGAGGGAACCGGAGGGAAAUUUUGGGAAAUGGCGGAAGUCUGACCGGGGAAAGGCGCGUGGGGGAAGAAGGGUUUCGGGUCGGAAAACUCUGGUUGUUGGGAAGAAAGAUGGUGGGAGGGGAAGGCGCAUCAAGUGACGGUAACUACUCAGAAAGGGACGGCUAACUACGUG